rnacentral:rRNA from 1 species
AUAUCAAUAAGCGGAGGAAAAGAAACUAACAAGGAUUCCCCUAGUAACGGCGAGUGAAGCGGGAAGAGCUCAAAUUUGAAAUCUGGUCGUCUUCGGCGGCCCGAGUUGUAGUUUAGAGAAGCGCUUUCGGUGCCGAAUCACGUAUAAGUCCCUUGGGAAAGGGCACCGUGGAGGGUGAGAGUCCCGUCUAUGACGUGGUAACCCGGUGCCAUUUGAUACGCUCUCGAAGAGUCGAGUUGUUUGGGAAUGCAGCUCAAAAUGGGUGGUAAAUUCCAUCUAAAGCUAAAUACUGGCGAGAGACCGAUAGCGCACAAGUA